CUGAUUCAAGUUGAUCCUUUCAGUGGCUCUUUCUUGAAUUAACAACAUAAAACUGGUCCAAAUGGGUUUAAAGUGUUCAGAACUUGCUCAUGACCAAUUCAAAUCCUUCCUCGAAAGGGAAAAUCAGUUCUGACAUGUUCAAAUCUAUUUUGACCAGCUUAAACUAAUUUUGCUGAGCUGGAGCCUGAGGUCGGUAAACUCAAGAAGAUUGCUGAAGAUGAUGCUGAUUCAAGGCAAAGCAAGGAAUCAGAUUCAUUUCCUACUGCAUCCUGGACCUGUGGCCACCAGAAGCCCUGAGAUGUGGUAUGCACCAUCAUAAACUGGUGACACGAGGUGGGGGAUAGGAGAUGGAGGAAUCAUGUCAAAGAUAUCAGUGAUAGGUUUGCCUCGUGUAAACAGGGUGGGGUAUAACAAACUCUCCUUCAACCACAAACAUCUUGAAAUUAUUUAAUUCAAAGCAAGCCUGGAUUACUUCACUUGGAUUCUGUCACCGUCCCUGAAAACAUCAGGAUCAGGAGGUUUGGCCCUUGAAACAAUUUUGAGAGAAGCUUGGAAAGCUGGAAAUGUGCUGACAUUCCAAGAGUCUCGGUGUGUGCAAAGUU